rnacentral:siRNA from 1 species
CCCUGACAAGUGCCUCAAAAGGA